CCCAGCAUGGCAUAGUGGGUUGAGUGCUGGACUACAGCUCUGGAGGCCAGGGUUCAAAUCUUCACUCAGCUGUGG